rnacentral:lncRNA from 1 species
GGAUUUGCAGAUUUAAGUGAAUGAUUUUCGAAUUAAAAAUUAUGUAUUUAUAGGUCAUGCAUGUGUUGUUUCAUAAGUUUGCAUCUCUUGAUGAAAAAACAACUUUUCACCAUAUGUUGCAAUGGUUCACCUAUGAUAAUACAAUGCACCACUUCAUGAAGUGUUGUAUUUUUAAAAUUGAAAUUCAAACUGUAAGUAACAACCAAAAUUCUGGAGCAAUACUCAUCCGGAGCGCCGCCACAUUAACGUCGUGAAUAACCCGAUUGCUCAAGUGCCACCUACAAG